GGCCAUGGCGUCUCCCAGUCCUAAUGAGGAUGUGCCGAGAAUCCAAAUCGGUACUGAGUGGGAAGUUCUUGAAGCCCAUCAUCAAGGUCUAUGCCCCUCCAAGUCCUGCGGCAGGCAGGCAGGCAGCCGAGCAGCGAAAUCUGAAGAGGCAGGGAGAAGCUCAGAGAGAGAGAGAGAGAGAGAGAGAGAGUGCUGGGAUGAAAGUGGCUGAGAUGGUUGGUCUGAAGCCGAUGGCGGAGGAGGCGGAGGGAGGCGGACACCGCCAAACUGGAACUUGUCUAGAUAGAACUAUCGAUCCAUCCUGAGUGGGAUGCAGUUCCUUGCCGGGGUCGGGGUGAGAUGGGAGUAGGAAUUCAUUCCCGCCCUCCAGCCUCAGUAGCAGCAUUCAUUCCGAAAAUGCCUUCCUUACCUUCUGCUGACGACCAAAUCCGAUUCGUUCCUCUAUCUGAAGUGAUCCUCCUUUGUCUUCUUCACGGACGAGCAAGGAAGCGAAUUUCUCCUUCCUUGUCCGAUUACCUUACUUACUGUGAGACCUGACAUUUUUUUUUUUUAUAUUUCAAAUAGUAUAUAUAUGUAUGUAUACAUACAUUUACUUACAAGUUUAUAUAUAUAUAUAUAUAUUACGUACAUAUUGCUGGAGCAUCAGGAAAGUAAAAAAAAAAAAAGAGAGAGAUCAAAUAAGUGGUAUGUUUAACUUGUUUAUGGUAGACUUGUCCACACCUUAUCACCCUUUCCAUCCUUUUUCCCCACCGCCUAAGCCUUCCAAUUAUCAUUUGCCAUUGUUUUCUGUUCUUCUUUUUGGAUUCUGGUGGGGCAGCCAAAAACGAAAAAGAGAGUAACAGAGAGAAAGAGAGGGAGAAGCUUCGGGAAGCAAGGCCUUUGCUCCGAUUCCCGUUCUCGUUUGCGCCUCUCCUUUCCGUUUCUCUAUACACUGUCCCACUUCUUUCUUUUUGCUCGAUCAUUCUCUCUGGUUGCUGCUCACCAGCUGAAUGGAGGUGAGAAACCGGCCCAGCUUGGUUAAGCAGAACAACUCGAAAAGCGGCAGAAUUCCUUCGUCUUGUUUCUGCCUUUGAUCAGCUGUGAAGGGAUACCAACACCACGUAUCUCGAAGACUUGAACUUGGUGAUGCUAGAUAAGCUUCCGAUUGCGCGGGGAAACCACUUUUUGAUAUCGGGGAUCAGCUUGGAGAACUAGACUGAAACCAUGCUCAGUGAGGAGACCAAGAGGCUUGAGCAGAAGUUGGCAGAGGAGCAGGCUGCUCGUAUGAGGGCUGAAAAGCAAGCACAGUUGGCUUAGGCGAAGUCAAAAGAUGAGAUUCAUGAUCUCAGCGAGAGCCUGCAGAGAGCCAGGAAGGAGACUGAAGAGCUCCGGGAGCGGACCAAACCAAAAUCAACACAGACCAAACCAAAAUCAACACAGACCAAACCAAAAUCAUCAUGCGCCAUUAAUAAUGAAUACGAUGAUCCACCAGCUUACAUUUGAUGACACUUCUUAUAAUAAAUACGCUGGUGGAUCAUAGUAUUUUUUUAUGUCAUUUACUUAUCAAAAGUACGAUGAUCAACCAGCAAAUGAGAAACGAAUAUUUGCUACUGAGCAUUUAAAACGCCAGACGAGAUGCUAUAGUUUCCAUAAAGUAUCCUUACUAAUAUGCAUGGAAUUAUUGAUUCAUACCC